rnacentral:lncRNA from 1 species
CCAGAAUAGCCUUACAGGAAAUUUUUUUUCAAAAUCACCCCCCCCCCCUCAAAAGUUAAAUGGUCGGCCCCUAAGUAGUGAUUUAUUCGUAUAUAUGAGAUGUCAUUUCAAAUCCUCCAAUGCCAUCAGGCCCAGUAGCCUUAGAGGGUGACGACUGGAUAACAAAGAUUGUAUUUCAAGUAAUAUUUCAUAUCCGACUAUGAGGACUGGACUAGAUUUCAAAUCAAAAUGGAAAUCUGCUAUAAUGUGGUUCCAAUACCUAAGAAAGGUGACGCUCAUGAAGUCACUAACUACAGACCUGUUUCAUUACUCUCCCA